CCCCAACGGCGGCUCCGGCUGUCCCCGCUCCCCCCCAAACCCAAAAACCCGAGAUCCGCUUUGAUGUCGCCUUCAGAAAAGUUCACUUUAUUUACAAGGGGGGCUCCCCCCUGUUUACACGCGCCCAUUUGUAAAAUUAGCCGACCCCCCUGACAAAAACGCAAAGGAAUGGCUGAGAAAUAAAUAAACCUCUCCCCCACUCCGAGGCGGAAAGGCUCCAAGCCAGCGGGGCUCUGCUCCCCCCCGGCCCGGGGCUCAGGCGAUCCUGCUGCAGAACUCGUCGAAGUCCCUCUCCAUGAAGAGCUCGCUCUCGAUCACAUCGUCCUCCGAGGGGAAGUACUGCUGGCUCUCCUCCUGCGGGGAGCCCGCGGCCGCAUCGGCCCCGGCCCGGGCGGGCGGGGAGCGGGCGGCGGCUCCGGGCUCCCCCGCGCACUCCAUCAGCGCGCCGCGGGCGUUCUCCAGCACCCCCAGGUACGAGUCCAUGUCCAGCGGGUCCAUCUCGCAGUCCGACCCGCCGCUCUCGGUGCCCACCGAGUCCGAGCGCAGGUGCAUGAGCUGGUACUUCUCCCGCAUCAGGAACUGGUUGGUGUUGCGGGGCGCCCGCAUGCCCGGCGCCCGCCUGCCCAGCACAUUGACGGGCCGCAGGGAGAGCAGCACCCGCGGUCGCGCCGGGCGGUGGCAGCGGCGGAAGGCGCGGCAGUGCUGCUGCUGCAGCUGCUGGUGCAGGUAGUGCUGGAAGUGGCUGUGCGUGCGGCUGCCCAGCAGCUUCCGCGCCCCGCCGGGGACCCUGCCGCGCCGCCCGGGCGGCCAACGGGAGCGGCUGCCGCCCCGCCGGGGCUCGCCGCCCUUCAGCGGCGUCGGGGAGGCGCCCCCCGGCACCCCCUCGCCGCGGGCGGGCUCCCAGGGCGGGCACACGAUGAACUCCGCGCGUCGCAGCAUCGCGGCCCCCCGGCCUCUCACAUGCUCCGAGCCGCCGGGACGCCCCCGCCGCGCUGCUCCUGCGCCGUCGCCUCUCCGGCGCGUCCUCAGCUUCUCUCCGGGCUGAGCGGCCGCUUCCCAAGAGCCCUGCGGGGGCCUCUGCGGGCGCCUCUACCUUUUCACGAUCCGCUCUGUUUUUUUCUUGAGCGGAGCCCGUUGGCAGCGCAUAGCCUGGCUGAACGGCUGCGGGCUGCGGGGCAGCUUGACGGGUUCCAAGCCGCCUCUUCGGAGAUGGUCUCGCCUACUCCCCGGCCGGGCGCUGCCGGGCUGUCAGCGCUGCGCCGGGCACGGCGGGCCGGGGCAGGGCCCGGGAGCGAAGCGAGCGAGGGCAGGGGAGGGGAAGGCGCCGAGGCUCAGGGACAGCACAGGGAGCGCGCGCACCGCCCGCCGCCCCGCGCCCACUGCCGACGCGCUCCCGCGCAGCCCCUAGUUAUCACCUCCGGCGCAGUCCAACUGCCGCUGCGCCGCGGGGGGAGCCGGGGCGGCACAGCCGCUCCUCAGCUGGCCUGUCCCCGCCAAACUUGGCCCUCCGCGCCCGGGGAGUGUGGGGGCUCCGCGGCACCGCAGCCCGCACGCUCGUAUCUCCCGUGUUAUCCCGGGUUAUCCCGGGAUCUCUUCCCCCUUGGGCGCGCUUUGGCUUGGCCCAGAGCUGCGGGCGCAUUUUUGUUCAUCUCUUAUUCACGAAGGGCGUUUACGCUCAGCUCGCCG
rnacentral:lncRNA from 1 species